CGAGGGGAGAGGCAGCGCAGAGGGAAGGAGCGGGGCGAGGAGAAGGGGCGGGGCGAGUACUGCUCCAAGAUAUGGCAACCGUGACAGCUUUGCGAGUAGCUCCAGGUCCCCUGCUGCUCCGUGAGAAAUCAAACUUCUGGCAAUGACGAAGCAUGAAGCCAGCAUCUCAGGGAGAGGUGAGAAAACUGACACUUGGAGAGGUAGAGUAGCUUUAUUUACUUCACACAAGCUUUUGAUGAAUUUCAAGUCUCAACCUAGAAGUCUUCCUCUAAGGUUCGUGCUUUCACGCACCUGUAAUUCAAAUACUGAUGAAAACAAAACUAUUGCCCUCCUACCAAAUGGUAACAAUGGAAAUUAAUGUUAUGACUGGAUAAGACAAUUGUGAAGAAACUGCACUUCGAGGUUGUCUGUCUCCGUAUUCCGAUGGAAAAGGCUGGACUUUAGAAGCAUUGCUCGCUCCUUCAGUUUCUAACAAGAGUUUUACAGUUUCUGAUUAAAUACCAAUGGGAUAUCACCUCCCAUCUCUUAGGAUGGCUGUUAUAAAAAGGACAAGAGAUAACAAGUGUUGGUGAUGGUGUGGAGAGAAGGGAACCUUUGUACACUGCUGGUUAAAAUGAAAUGAAAUCAGCAUCUGAUAGAGAUAUCUUCACUCCCCUCUUCUCCGUGCCCCACCACAGCAUUGCUCCCAACAGCCAAGCCAUGGGAUGAAGUUACUGUGCAUUGAUGGAUGAGUGGAGAAAAGAAAAUGUGGGGGAGGUGUUUGUGCAUGUAUGUGUGUGUGUGUAUAAUAUAUAAUAAUAUAAUAUUUUUCAGCUUUUAAGAAGUUGAAGAUACUGCCAUUUGUGAUAACAUAAAUGAAUCUGGAGGAUAUUAAGCUAAGUAAAAUAACUUAGGGAGAGAGAAAAAUACUGCAUAAUUUCUGUUACAUAUGAAAUCUUUAAAAAGGUUUAAUACAUAGAGACAUGAUAGAGUGAUGAUUUGGGGGAUAAGAGACACAAGUCAACGUUUCAGUUAUAUAAAAUAAAUGAAUCUAGAGGACUAAAGUACAAUUUAAAGGUUAUAGUUACUAUUUUUAUAUUAUAUACUAGUGAUUUUUGAACAGGGUAAACUUUAGGUGCUUUGACACCAAAAGGAAACUACAUGAGUUCAUGUAUAUGUUAAAUUGUUUGACCGCAGUCAUCAUUGAUAUGUAUAUGUAUAUAUAUAUAAUUAUGGGCUCAUUAAAUUUAAAUGCUAUAAAUAGGUAACAAAGAAUAAAGUUAAUUGAAAAACUGCAUCAUUAGACUUGAUUUUGCCUACAUGAAAAACUGAAACUGCCUCCUAAAUAUUAAUAUUUGUACAUCGCAUAAAGUUUAUAUGUUGGAAAUAUGUUUAAAGAAAAGGAAUUAUAAAUUUUAAUAAACACAGAAUGACACAGUAAAUGCAAAACAGUAGAAAGAGAUGAAAAUCUGAUUAAUCAGAGUGGUUAAUGCUUAGAUAUAAUUAAUGAUGUGUUAGGAGCAAUUUCAAGCCACUUCCACAUAGAUUUAAUACCAAAGAGUUUAUGUGUACACAGAGAUUAAAUAAAAAAAUACAUUUACAAUGAUAUUAAUUGAUAUUAAAAUGAUUAUGAAAUCAACUGUCUGCUAUAGAAAAAAUAGAGCAUUAAGUAACUAGCAGUAAGUUUGAAACUUUGUUAGAAAGUUAAUCAAGUGAAAAAGUGAUCAGCAUUUUUGAGCACUAAAUAGAGGAUGGACAAAAUUUUCUUUUCUUUCUUUCUUUUUUUUUUUUUUUUGAGAUCGAGUCUGUCUCUGUCGCCCAGGCUGGAGUACAGCGGCGCAAUCUUGAUCUCGGCUCACUGCAAGCUCUGCCUCCCGGGUUCACGCCAUUCUCCUGCAUUAGCCUCCUGAGUACCUGGGACUGCAGGCGCCCACAGCCAUCCCUGGCUAAUUUUUUGUAUUUUUAGUGGAGACGGGGUUUCACCGUGUUAGUCAAGAUGGUCACGAUCUCCUGAGCUCAUGAUCCACCUGCCUCAGCCUCUUAAAGUGCUGGGAUUACAGGCGUGAGCCACCGCACCUGGCCUAUAAUUUUCCAAUACCAAGAAAAUCAUUUGAUAUUGCAAGAUUUUAAACCUAAAUUAGUGUCUUUAACUUCACAAAGGUAGAAAUCCUAUAAGUAAUGUUUCUUGAACACUUUAAAAUGACAAUAAAAACUAAAGUGUAACCAACAAGUAACAUGUAGCCACAUGCAAAUUUCCUUUUAGAUUGUUUUAUUAUUUUUUUAACUUUAUGUGAAUUUUUAUUUUACUAGGUUUUUGGGGAACAGGUGGUGUUUGGUUAGAGGGAUAAGUUUUUAGUGGUGAUCUCUGAGAUGUUGGUGCAGUGUACACUGUACCCAAUGGGUAGCCUUUGAUCCCUAAGAUUGUUUUAAAUGACAUCUAGAUUAAAUAGAACAUUCAAACUGACAUUACUUUUACAGCACCAGAGAAAUGCUAAGGAGGAAGCUUUGUGACUGAAACCAAAAGACCUGAAUUUAUAUAUUUAAUUUUACUAAUUAACAUUCUUAAUUUUAUAGAAAAACAGCAAUUCUGCCCACAUGCAGGAGUUAUGCAUUAAAGUGGAGCAUGAUCACUUCAGACAUUUGUCCAAAACAUAAAAAUUCUUCCAAGUAUUAAGAAAAUAUUUAUACUUCACAGAUAUUGUUAGUGUAUAAUACAUGGGCAUUGAGAUGUUUCAAAUGAGAAAAAUUGAAAUUUCUCAUGGGGCAUUGUUCUACACAAAAUAUUUAUGUAAAAUUUUUUACUCAUAUAUGCAUGUGGACAUUUGAUGUUUUAGCACAGAAUAACAUAUUCUCAAAGGUCAUUUAAUGUAGUAAAUUAAAAAUCUUUAAAGUUUACAAGAAUUUUAAAACUGCCCAGCAGAACUGAUAGAAAAAUAUGGGAGCUUCCCAGGACCAGAAGUGAAUCAAGAGGCAAAUUCACAGGAGUCAUGAAAGUGAGAAGUUAGAGCUGCCUUCAGGUACAGCUCUGAUUGCAGGGCUGAUUACACAGACCUCAAGCCUGUGAAAAUCGUCCACUCUGCCCCUUGGAAUAUACAUACAGAGAAAAUUACUAACUGGGGCAUCCCAAAUGUGAGAUCUCUAUAAUGUAAGAACCAAAUUGCAAUUAUGAAGCACACAAAAGAAGCUACCCAAAAAAGGGAAAGAAAUUAUACAUCACGUAAACUUCACAGAUUGGAAACGUAUUUAAAAUAAGUAACACAAAUAGGGAAAGAGAAUAUCAAAAUAAUUUUGAAAACACAUGAAGUUCUAAAGCGGGCACUGGGGGCAGUGGCUCAUGCCUGUACUCCCAAGCACUUUGCGGUGGCCAAAGCAGGAGGAUCACUUGAGGCCAGGAGUUUGAGAUCAGCCUGGGCAACAAAGCAAAAGUUGUCUCUACAACAAAUAGAUAUAAAAAAAUAAGCCAGGCACAGUGGUGUGUGCUUGUACUGUCAGCUACUGGGGAGGUGGAGGUGAGAGGGUCUUUUGAGACUGGGAAUUUGAGGUUGCAGUGAGCUAUGACCACCACUGAACUCAAGCCUGGGUGACAGAGAUUCUUUCUCAAACACACACACACACACACACACACACACACACACACACACACACACACACUAAACAGGCAUGUUUUGCAAAGACUCAAACAGAAAUUGAACAACUGAAACUUAAAUAAAUUUAAUAUACAGUGUAUGGUUUAAUUAUUAAACCAAGUUAAUAACAACAGGAUUAGUGAACUAGAAUACUGAGAUGAGUAAAUAAAAGAACUACAGAAAAAUGAAAUGAUCACAAUACAAAAAUGAGUAUACAUGUACAAAGAAUAAAAUGAAAUGAAAUCAAAUACAUUGGUUUCACUAGCUUACAUAUAAAUAACAAAUCACAUUAAUAACAAAUAUUUAUAAAUUUCUGAAACUGAAUAUCAGAUGGGAACCCUUGAAUGCAGAAGUGUAUUGUGAUUAAUAGUGGCCUACCAAUAAAAAAUACUCAACAGAAAUAAAAGUCAAACUGCAUAACAGCAAAGAAAAGAAAAAAUUUUAAAGCCAUAAGAGAGAAAAGAAGAGAGAACCAAUGAAGGUGAGAGCAAAGUCUUCACAGCCCGUGUUCAGUCAGAAAACAGAGAAAUAAGUAAGAGUGCUGAGAUAAGUCACUGUUCAACCAAUAAUUAGAUACUUCACUAACAUAUUUUGAAUAAGUGAGGAUGCACUACAUGAUUUCCAAAAGUAAAAAAGUGGGAAAUCUUAUUACCAAUAUGAGCUUAUUAAGAAUACACUUCAAAAAGAAAAAAAAUUUAAAAUGGAGUUCAAGGAAUCAAAAUGAAAUGCAAGAAACUGCAAACAUAUUGGGCUAUCAAAUCAUGGUGGACAAUGAACAAAAGGAUCCAUCAAGUCUUUGGCAGCAUCAGUUUCCAAAUGAUUUACAUAAAAUAAAAGUGCUAAACUCUAUACAAUGUAAUGAAAUAAAUUAUCAAAUCCUCUGAUACUUGAAUAAUUUAACUGAUGUUAGAAUCUCCUUUUCAGAUAAUUAUUUUCAUGGAAAAAAAUAUACAAUACUUCUGUCUCAUCAUUUGCAGAAUAUCAAUUAUCCUUUUUUCAGAACUUAUUAGCACCAAAGGGCUCACAGUGGCAUAGGCCCUGGUCACAAGCCUCUGGACACCCAG
rnacentral:lncRNA from 10 species